AGCCUGGAGAAGGUCCGGUGCCUCCUCAGGAGCAGGAAGACGUGGGAGAGGGAGGCAGAGUCUUGCAGGGCCUAGACUCUGCUGCUGAUUUUCAGUUGGGAUAUUUUCCCUGCCUAAUUUUGACCCCAAUGUCUGCAUCAUUCUGCCCUAAUGAUGACGGUGAGGAUCAUUAUGAAAACACUGAUGAAGAGGAAGAGGAUGUACAUGAAAAACCUGAAGGACUCUAAAUGGAUGUGGUCUCAGCAAAGAGCAGCUCUGGGUAAUACAGUGGGAAGGCAGAGGAAGAAGCAGACAGCAAAAGAAAAGAUGAAUCUGUUCUUCAUGGAUAUUCUUGUUUUCAUUAGCCUGAAAUACUAAUUUUGUUUCAAAGUUUCAACGCCCCAAAAUGAUAUUAACUAUUGACAUCUGACUUUACUCUUGCCUUUUACAGAAAAUUGAUAGUAUUGUUCACAUUGGAAAUAAAGCUUGUUUGAAAUUAA